ACGGCGGCCGUAACUAUAACGGUCCUAAGGUAGCGAAAUUCCUUGUCGGGUAAGUUCCGACCCGCACGAAAGGCGUAACGAUUUGGGCACUGUCUCAACGAGAGACUCGGUGAAAUCAUAGUACCUGUGAAGAUGCAGGUUACCCGCGACAGGACGGAAAGACCCCGUGGAGCUUUACUGUAGCCUGAUAUUGAAAUUCGGCACAGCUUGUACAGGAUAGGUAGGAGCCUUUGAAACGUGAGCGCUAGCUUACGUGGAGGCGCUGGUGGGAUACUACCCUAGCUGUGUUGGCUUUCUAACCCGCACCACUUAUCGUGGUGGGAGACAGUGUCAGGCGGGCAGUUUGACUGGGGCGGUCGCCUCCUAAAAGGUAACGGAGGCGCUCAAAGGUUCCCUCAGAAUGGUUGGAAAUCAUUCAUAGAGUGUAAAGGCAUAAGGGAGCUUGACUGCGAGACCUACAAGUCGAGCAGGGUCGAAAGACGGACUUAGUGAUCCGGUGGUUCCGCAUGGAAGGGCCAUCGCUCAACGGAUAAAAGCUACCCCGGGGAUAACAGGCUUAUCUCCCCCAAGAGUUCACAUCGACGGGGAGGUUUGGCACCUCGAUGUCGGCUCAUCGCAUCCUGGGGCUGUAGUCGGUCCCAAGGGUUGGGCUGUUCGCCCAUUAAAGCGGUACGCGAGCUGGGUUCAGAACGUCGUGAGACAGUUCGGUCCCUAUCCGUCGUGGGCGUAGGAAAUUUGAGAGGAGCUGUCCUUAGUACGAGAGGACCGGGAUGGACAUACCUCUGGUGUACCAGUUGUCGUGCCAACGGCAUAGCUGGGUAGCUAUGUGUGGACGGGAUAAGUGCUGAAAGCAUCUAAGCAUGAAGCCCCCCUCAAGAUGAGAUUUCCCAACUUCGGUUAUAAGAUCCCUCAAAGAUGAUGAGGUUAAUAGGUUCGAGGUGGAAGCAUGGUGACAUGUGGAGCUGACGAAUACUAA
rnacentral:rRNA from 1 species